rnacentral:rRNA from 1 species
CGACCGGCGGACGGGUGCGUAACGCGUAUGUAACCUACCUUUGACAGGGGGAUAACAUCGAGAAAUUGGUACUAAUACCCCAUAACAUCACCGGAGGCAUCUUCGGUGGUUGAAAUCUCAGGUGGUCAGAGAUGGACAUGCGUUGUAUUAGCUAGUUGGUGAGGUAACGGCUCACCAAGGCGACGAUACAUAGGGGGACUGAGAGGUCAACCCCCCACAUUGGUACUGAGACACGGACCAAACUCCUACGGAAGGCAGCAG